rnacentral:rRNA from 1 species
GAUGAACGCUGGCGGCGUGCUUAACACAUGCAAGUCGAACGAAGCAUUUGCGACAGAUUUUUUCGGAAUGAAGUUGCUUAUGACUGAGUGGCGGACGGGUGAGUAACGCGUGGGUAAUCUGCCUUGUACUGGGGGAUAGCAGCUGGAAACGGCUGGUAAUACCGCAUAAGCGCACAAUGUUGCAUGACAUGGUGUGAAAAACUCCGGUGGUAUAAGAUGGACCCGCGUCUGAUUAGCUAGUUGGUGAGAUAACAGCCCACCAAGGCGACGAUCAGUAGCCGACCUGAGAGGGUGACCGGCCACAUUGGGACUGAGACACGGCCCAGACUCCUACGGGAGGCAGCAGUGGGGAAUAUUGCACAAUGGAGGAAACUCUGAUGCAGCGACGCCGCGUGAGUGAAGAAGUAAUUCGUUAUGUAAAGCUCUAUCAGCAGGGAAGAUAGUGACGGUACCUGACUAAGAAGCUCCGGCUAAAUACGUG